rnacentral:tRNA from 1 species
UCCCUGGUGGUCCGGGGGCUAAGACUCCGCACUUUGAAUACAGAGGGCCCAGGUUCCAUCCCUGGUCAGGGAA